AGUGGCGCACGGGUGAGUGCGCGUAUGCAUCGUCCUUUUUUAGAGUAUAGGUCAUAGAAAUUUGGAUUAAUCCUCUAUAUUUUUUCCUGACUAAUGUUUGGUCGGUUAAAUAUGCGUAUGCGUCCUAUUAGCUUGUAGUUGAGGUAACGGCUCACCUUGACUACGUAGGUAGGGGCCCUGAGAGGGGGAUGCCCCCGUUGUUACUGAGACACGGACCACACUACUACGGGAGGCAGCAGUAAGGAAUAUUGGACAAUGGACGAAAGUCUGAUCCAGCCAUGCCGCGUGCAGGAUGAAAGCCUAUGGGUUGUAAACUGCUUUUAUACAGGAAGAAACACUCGUACGUGUACGAGCUUGACGGUACUGUAAGAAUAAGGACCGGCUAACUCCGUGCCAGCAGCCGCGGUAAUACGGAGGGUCCGAGCGUUAUCCGGAAUCAUUGGGUUUAAAGGGUCCGCAGGCGGUCUUUUAAGUCAGAGGUGAAAGCCUACAGCUCAACUGUAGAACGGCCUUUGAUACUGAAAGACUUGAGUUAUUAUGAAGUGGUUAGAAUGUGUGGUGUAGCGGUGAAAUGCAUAGAUAUCACACAGAAUACCCAUUGCGAAGGCAGAUCACUAUAUAUACUGACGCUCAUGGACGAACGCGUGAGGAGCGACAGGUUUAGAUACCCUGGUAGUUCCCACGG
rnacentral:rRNA from 1 species